CCCUUAGAUGUUCUGGGCUGCACGCGUGCUACACUGAUAUUGCCAAUAUGUCAUUCUUAUCCGAAAUGGAUUGGGUAAUCAAGUAAUGAAAUUUCAUGCUUGGAAUCGGUAAUUGCAAUUUUAUCGUGAACGAGGAAUUCCUAGUAAGCACUAGUCAUCAGCUAAUGUUGAUUAUGUCCCUGCCCUUUGUACACACCGCCCGUCGCUACUACUGAUUGGGUGUUCAAGUGAGAUGCUUAGACCCUUGUUGCAUGGUUCAUUAUUGUGCUCCGAAAGGAAAAAGUUUCAAGCUUGAGUGUCUAGAGGAAGUAAAAGCCGUAACA
rnacentral:rRNA from 1 species